CUCGUAGGCGGCCAACUAAGUCAUACGUGAAAUCCCUCAGCUUAACUGGGGGAACUGCGUGUGAUACUGGAUGGCUUGGAUUUGGGAGAGGGAUGCGGGAAUUCCAGGUGUAGCGGUGAAAUGCGUAGAUAUCUGGAGGAACACCGGUGGCGAAGGCGGCAUCCUGGACCAAUAUUGACGCUGAGGAGCGAAAGCCAGGGGAGCAAACG
rnacentral:rRNA from 1 species